rnacentral:rRNA from 1 species
UUUGAAAGUUAAAAAAUCGUAACAAGGUCUCCGUUGGUGAACCAGCGGAGGGAUCAUUACCGAGUUUUCAACUCCCUAACCCUUCUGUGAACCUACCUAUCGUUGCUUCGGCGGACUCGCCCCAGCCCGGACGCGGACUGGACCAGCGGCCCGCCGGGGACCUCAAACUCUUGUAUUCCAGCAUCUUCUGAAUACGCCGCAAGGCAAAACAAAUGAAUCAAAACUUUCAACAACGGAUCUCUUGGCUCUGGCAUCGAUGAAGAACGCAGCGAAACGCGAUAAGUAAUGUGAAUUGCAGAAUCCAGUGAAUCAUCGAAUCUUUGAACGCACAUUGCGCCCGCCAGCAUUCUGGCGGGCAUGCCUGUUCGAGCGUCAUUUCAACCCUCGACCUCCCCUUGGGGGGGUCGGCGUUGGGGACCGGCAGCACACCGCCGGCCCUGAAAUGGAGUGGCGGCCCGUCCGCGGCGACCUCUGCGCAGUAAUACAGCUCGCACCGGAACCCCGACGCGGCCACGCCGUAAAACACCCAACUUCUGAACGUUGACCUCGAAUCAGGUAGGACUACCCGCUGAACUUAAGCAUAUCAUA